rnacentral:misc_RNA from 1 species
CGAGGAGGUACAGUGAAAUCAUUAUUUGAUUUGUUUGGUUGCAUCUUUACUGAUUAUUUGAGGCCAAUCUUUUCAUGCCACUGUGUUUUCCUGCAGGACCAGUUGCUUUUCUUUUCUUUGGUUCUUCUAGUUAGCCACUAUAACAGAUAACAUUGAAGAAAUCUUUCAUUAUUCUCUCCUAAAAGUAUCUUUUUGAUUUCAUGAAUUGCUG